rnacentral:rRNA from 1 species
GACGAACGCUGGCGGCGUGCUUAACACAUGCAAGUCGAACGGAAAGGCCCUGCUUUUGUGGGGUGCUCGAGUGGCGAACGGGUGAGUAACACGUGAGUAACCUGCCCUUGACUUUGGGAUAACUUCAGGAAACUGGGGCUAAUACCGGAUAUGAGCUCCUGCUGCAUGGUGGGGUUUGGAAAGUUUCGGCGGUUGGGGAUGGACUCGCGGCUUAUCAGCUUGUUGGUGGGGUAGUGGCUUACCAAGGCUUUGACGGGUAGCCGGCCUGAGAGGGUGACCGGCCACAUUGGGACUGAGAUACGGCCCAGACUCCUACGGGAGGCAGCAGUGGGGAAUAUUGCACAAUGGGCGGAAGCCUGAUGCAGCAACGCCGCGUGCGGGAUGACGGCCUUCGGGUUGUAAACCGCUUUAGCCUGUGACGAAGCGUGAGUGACGGUAAUGGGUAAAGAAGCACCGGCUAACUACGUG